rnacentral:rRNA from 1 species
CCUACGGGUGGCAGCAGUGGGGAAUAUUGCUCAAUGGAGGGAACUCUGAACCAGCAAUGCCGCGUGCAGGAUGAAGGUUUUAGGAGUGUAAACCUGUUUUGGUACAGAGGAAAAUGUGGAUAUGUAAAGAAUACGGAAUGGACUGUACGGAUAAGGAACGGCCAAUUCCGCGCCAGCAGCCGCGGUAAUACGGAGGAUCCGAGCUUUACUCGGACUUAGUGGGCUUAACGGGUGCGUAGGCGGAAUCUCAAGUUAGACGUGAAAUGUCCGGGCUUAACUCGGGAACUGCAUCUGAUACUGUGAAUCUAGAGUGUGGGAGCGGUAGGCGGAAUUCAUGGUGUAGCGGUGAAAUCCGUAGAGAUCA